AGAGGGGGCGAGCGUUAUUCGGAAUUAUUGGGCGUAAAGGGCGCGUAGGCGGCUUGACAAGUCCAAGGUGAAAUCCCUCGGCUCAACCGAGGAACUGCCUUGGAAACUGUCUGGCUUGAGGCCGGGAGAGGGUAGUGGAAUUCCCAGUGUAGCGGUGAAAUGCGUAGAUAUUGGGAGGAACACCGGUGGCGAAGGCGGCUACCUGGACCGGAUCUGACGCUGAUGCGCGAAAGCGUGGGGAGCAAACAGGAUUAGAUACCCUGGUAGUCCACGCUGUAAACGAUGGGUGCUCGGUGUCGCGGGUAUCGACCCCUACGGUGCCCUAGCUAACGCGUUAAGCACCCCGCCUGGGGAGUACGGUCGCAAGGCUG
rnacentral:rRNA from 1 species